AGAGGUUAAUGGUGGAGAUUACAAUGAGGAUGGAAGAGAGGGUUUGACAUGCUCCUCCUUAAUGCAAAGGUUUGUCUCUUCUAAUUUACUUGGUGAUAAAUUCUAGAUCUUUCAGUUCCUUCUCAUAAGCUGAUGAGCAGGUUUGUCUCCUAUAUUCCCUCAAUGAUAUCUUUUGGCGUCGAGCCUAAGGUGAUCGUAGCCACCAGCAUUAAUCCAAAAUUCGUCGGAGGUAGCUAUCUUGAACUUCAUCUUUAAAAGAAGUUUACAGUUCCAUAGUGAUAUGUAACCAUCUUUGUUAAUCUUCCAGGCCGUCUCUUACUGAAUACAACCUCUGGCACUCAUUUCUAUUUAGACAAAGACAAACGCAAGUGAGACCUUCAUCCGAUUUGGGUGUUGGUGACGUGAUCUGCUCCACAAGUUCCACCAAUUAUGAAGGUGUGAAGAAAAUUGAAGUUGUGACGGUCUUUGAGCUUAACGCAUACGUGGUUACCGAAUUUUGUGCACCGGAAAAAGGUGAGUUGAUUGAAACGGGCAGUGGCUGGUGCUACAUAUCCUGCUCUAAUGGGAUCUCUUCCUGCAUGUAGUGACUUAACCUCUGCUGGUGUUGUCAGAUAUCGUGUGGAGCUGUGCAUUUUAGAUGGUACAGAGUCUGCAGUGUUUGUUGUUUUCUAUGCCAAAAUUUCAUGGUUGACUAAUGUGCAUGCGGCGGAAAUCAGUGAACUUAUGGUAUGCUUGAGUGGCCACAUCUUAUCGCCUAGACUUUAUUUAUCAAGAAACAUGCCUUGACAGACAUUUUCUUUUUGCAGGGUGUUGGUGUGGGAGACUGUAGGGGCCGAGGUUCCACAAUUUCUGCAAAAUAUUGUUGGCAGAACGUUCACUUUCCAGUUGGAGCUAACUGAGUUAGCAUCAGACCUUCACUGUUACACGUAUCUUUGACCGCAUCAGCGUCCCCUCACAGCAACAUUUGCGAUUCAUGGUGGGCACAACUAUCCUGAUGACGAUUUGCAUGGUGACGAUAUAAGUUUCCUGCAAUUGCCUGAAGCAGAGGAUGUCUGAGAAGAUCAGAAGCCUACACAGAAGAAGAAGAGAAAAUGUUACUUGCUCUUCAGGUUUGUACAACAGCUCAAAAGCUUAAAUGAUCAGAGUUGUGCAUAUGCUUGGUCUGAGUUCUGGAUUUUCCUGAGCAUGCUUUGCCACUGACCAGAACAUUUGACGUAAUGACCUCCACAUGAACCCCAGGGGUCCAUCUGCAGCAGAACAGCAAGUGGUGAGCUCAAUUCUGUCAGGAUCAUUGCAGAGGAACAACAGCUUCCAGGAGCUGGUUGCCCACUCAAGAAGGCUCGCACAGAGUAGUUACUCAAGUGAUCUACCUUAUAACCCUUCUAUUUCUUACAAGCUUAAGUUCACAUUAUAUUUUUUUCGUCGCAGGAGCUGUUAUAAAGUUACCGAUCACGUUUUUUAUAGCUUCAGUUCUAGAAAUAUAAAAAAUAUUUAUUUCA